rnacentral:rRNA from 1 species
GACGAACGCUGGCGGCGUGCCUAAUACAUGCAAGUCGAGCGAAGUUUUUCUGGUGCUUGCACCGGAAACACUUAGCGGCGAACGGGUGAGUAACGCGUAAAGAACCUGCCUUAUAGACUGGGACAACUAUUGGAAACGAUAGCUAAUACCGGAUAACAGCAUUAACUGCAUGGUUGAUGUUUGAAAGUUGGUUUUGCUAACACUAUGAGAUGGCUUUGCGGUGCAUUAGCUAGUUGGUGGGGUAAAGGCCUACCAAGGCGACGAUGCAUAGCCGACCUGAGAGGGUGAUCGGCCACACUGGGACUGAGACACGGCCCAGACUCCUACGGGAGGCAGCAGUAGGGAAUCUUCCGCAAUGGGCGAAAGCCUGACGGAGCAACGCCGCGUGAGUGAAGAAGGAUUUCGGUUCGUAAAGCUCUGUUGUUAGGGAAGAAUGAUUGUGUAGUAACUAUACACAGUAGAGACGGUACCUAACCAGAAAGCCACGGCUAACUACGUG